AGUUAAAUGUAACAUGUUCGUCAAAACCCCGAAGAGCUGGCACUCUUCGGGGUUUUUUUUU
rnacentral:sRNA from 1 species